rnacentral:rRNA from 1 species
UACGAAGGGGGCUAGCGUUGCUCGGAAUCACUGGGCGUAAAGGGUGCGUAGGCGGGUCUUUAAGUCAGGGGUGAAAUCCUGGAGCUCAACUCCAGAACUGCCUUUGAUACUGAAGAUCUUGAGUUCGGGAGAGGUGAGUGGAACUGCGAGUGUAGAGGUGAAAUUCGUAGAUAUUCGCAAGAACACCAGUGGCGAAGGCGCUCACUGGACACGUAUUGACGCUGAGGUGCGAAAGCGUGGGGAGCAAACAGG